AUGGCUGACACGGCCGCCGCCCCGCUCCUGACAAGCCACAAAGCCAGGCCGUCGAUCGAUGAAACGAUGGAGGCGUACAUGGGUGCCGCCGGCGCCGGGCAGCUUCUCAAGGCCGUCUUGCUGGCCUUCGCGUGGGCCUUGGACGCGCAGCAGGUGUUCAUCUCGGUCUUCACCGACGCCGAGCCGCCGUGGCACUGCACGGACGCCGACGCCGACGCGUCCUCCUGCUCCGCGGCUGCGGCCUCCCCUUGCGCGCUCCCGCCUGGCGCGUGGGCGUGGGACCGUCCCGCCGUAACGUCGGUGGUCUCGGAGUGGUCACUGGAGUGCGCCGGCCCGGCGCUCGUCUCGCUCCCGGCAUCCUCGUUCUUCGCCGGAUGCCUCGUCGGCGGAUUCCUCCUCACCACGCUUGCCGACUCGCUCCUGGGCCGCAGGAAGAUGCUGCUCGCGUCCAUUGUGUCCAUGUCGGUCUCUGGCAUGGUCACCGCGUUCUCGCCGAACGUGUGGGCGUACGCCGCCCUGCGAUUCGUGUCCGGGUUCGGCAGGUCCAUGGUUGGCACGUGCACGCUGGUCCUAUCCACGGAGCUCGUGGGAAGGAGGUGGCGCGACACGGUGUGCGUGGCCGGGUUCUUCUGCUUCACCCUCGGGUUCCUGUCUCUCCCGGCGCUCGCCUACACGUUCCGGGAGGCGUCGUGGCGGAACAUGUACCUGUGGACGUCCGUGCCGUCCCUCUGCUACGCCAUCCUAUUCUACUUCGUCGUCCAGGAGUCGCCGCGGUGGCUGCUGGUGCGCGGCAGGAGGCAGGACGCCAUCGACACGCUGCAGCAGAUGCAGAUCGGCGGCAUCACGUCGUCCAGCUUCUCCAUGAUACACGCCUGUGCCGUGAACGACGACGAUGACGCGGGGGCGAGCGCGAGCAGCGUGUUCGCCACGCUGCACUCCAUGCGGGAGCGCCCGUGGGCGCUCCGGAGGCUGGCGGCGAUCAUGACGGCCAGCUUCGGCGUCGGCAUGGUCUACUACGGCAUGCCGCUCAACGUUGCCAACCUGGGCUCCAACCUCUACCUGAGCGUCACGUACAAUGCGCUGGCCGAGCUGCCGUCGUCCAUCCUCUCGUGGCUCCUGAUGGGCAGGAUCAACCGUCGGAGCUCGGUGGUCGCGCUCACGGCGGCGGCGGGGCUGUGGAGCCUCGCGUGCGUCGUAAUCCCGCAGGGCACGGCGCGGAUGGCCGCCGAGCUGGUCUCCAUCUUCGCGACGUGCACGGCGUUCAACGUCAUACUCAUGUACUCCAUCGAGCUGUUCCCGACGUCCGUCCGUAACUCGGCGGUGGGGCUGGUGAGGCAGGCGCUGGUGUUGGGAGGCGUGGCGGCGCCCGUGCUCGUCGCGCUGGGGCGCCGCAACAGUUUCUUCUCCUUCGGCGUCUUCGGGCUCGUCAUCGGCUGCUCCGGCAUGUUCGCUGCCUGCCUGCCUGCCAGAGACGAGGGGAAAGGCCAUGUCCGACACCAUGGACGAGGAAGACCACACUUGCACCUUCCACCACCACGUGGACACUAG
rnacentral:rRNA from 1 species